rnacentral:rRNA from 1 species
UACGUAGGAUCCAAGCGUUGUCCGGAAUUACUGGGUGUAAAGGGUGCGCAGGCGGACUUGUGCGUCGGAGGUUAAAUCCAUCGGCUCAACCGGUGAACCGCCUUUGAUACGGCAAGUCUUGAGUGCGAGAGAGGAUAGUGGAAUUCCUGGUGUAGCGGUGAAAUGCGUAGAUAUCAGGAGGAACACCUGUGGUGAAGACGGCUAUCUGGCUCGCAACUGACGCUCAGGCACGAAAGCGUGGGGAGCAAAC